GGCGGCGUAGCUCAGCCGGUAGAGCAGAGGAAUCAUAAUCCUUGUGUCUCGACCAGAGCAUCGCCG
rnacentral:tRNA from 1 species